rnacentral:rRNA from 1 species
UACGGGGGGGAGCAAGCGUUGUUCGGAUUUACUGGGCGUAAAGCGCACGUAGGCGGCUUUGUAAGUUAGAGGUGAAAGCCCGGGGCUCAACUCCGGAAUUGCCUUUAAGACUGCAUCGCUAGAAUUGUGGAGAGGUAAGUGGAAUUCCGAGUGUAGAGGUGAAAUUCGUAGAUAUUCGGAAGAACACCAGUGGCGAAGGCGACUUACUGGACACAUAUUGACGCUGAGGUGCGAAAGCGUGGGGAGCAAACAGGAUUAAGAAACCCC